UACGUAGGGGGCAAGCGUUGUCCGGAAUUAUUGGGCGUAAAGAGCGUGUAGGCGGUCCGGUAAGUCAGCUGUGAAAGUCAAGGGCUCAACCCUUGAAAGCCGGUUGAUACUGUCGGGCUAGAGUCCGGAAGAGGAGAAUGGAAUUCCUGGUGUAGCGGUGAAAUGCGCAGAUAUCAGGAAGAACACCAAUGGCGAAGGCAGUUCUCUGGGACGGUACUGACGCUGAGACGCGAAGGCCAGGGAGCGAAACGGG
rnacentral:rRNA from 1 species